UACGAGGGGGGCGAGCGUUGUUCGGAAUUAUUGGGCGUAAAGGGUGCGUAGGCGGUUUGGUAAGUCUGAUGUGAAAUCUAUGGGCUCAACUCAUAGUCUGCAUCGGAAACUGCCGGGCUUGAGUGUGGGAGAGGUGAGUGGAAUUCCUGGUGUAGCGGUGAAAUGCGUAGAUAUCAGGAGGAACACCUGUGGCGAAAGCGGCUCACUGGACCAUAACUGACGCUGAGGAGCGAAAAGCCAGGGGAGCAAACGGGG
rnacentral:rRNA from 1 species